rnacentral:rRNA from 1 species
UGACCUCGGAUCAGGUAGGAAUACCCGCUGAACUUAAGCAUAUCAAUAAGCGGG